rnacentral:ncRNA from 1 species
AUCCGAUAAAGGCAAACCUGAUUGAAAAACAGGGACGCAAAGCUAAAGGGUCUUUCCCGAGAGGGUGACAGCCAGCUAUCGAA